rnacentral:rRNA from 1 species
CGGCGCGCCUAACACAUGCAAGUCGAACGGAGCUGAGAGGAGCUUGCUUUUCUCAGCUUAGUGGCGAACGGGUGAGUAACGCGUGAGUAACCUGCCCUGGAGUGGGGGACAACAGUUGGAAACGACUGCUAAUACCGCGUAAGCCCACGGCCCGGCAUCGGGCUGCGGGAAAAGGAUUUAUUCGCUUCAGGAUGGACUCGCGUCCAAUUAGCUAGUUGGUGAGGUAACGGCCCACCAAGGCGACGAUUGGUAGCCGGACUGAGAGGUUGAACGGCCACAUUGGGACUGAGACACGGCCCAGACUCCUACGGGAGGCAGCAGUGGGGGAUAUUGCACAAUGGGGGAAACCCUGAUGCAGCGACGCCGCGUGGAGGAAGAAGGUUUUCGGAUUGUAAACUCCUGUCGUUAGGGACGAUAAUGACGGUACCUAACAAGAAAGCACCGGCUAACUACGUGCCAGCAGCCGCGGUAAAACGUAGGGUGCAAGCGUUGUCCGGAAUUACUGGGUGUAAAGGGAGCGCAGGCGGACCGGCAAGUUGGAAGUGAAAACUAUGGGCUCAACCCAUAAAUUGCUUUCAAAACUGCUGGCCUUGAGUAGUGCAGAGGUAGGUGGAAUUCCCGGUGUAGCGGUGGAAUGCGUAGAUAUCGGGAGGAACACCAGUGGCGAAGGCGACCUACUGGGCACCAACUGACGCUGAGGCUCGAAAGCAUGGGUAGCAAACAGGAUUAGAUACCCUGGUAGUCCAUGCCGUAAACGAUGAUUACUAGGUGUUGGAGGAUUGACCCCUUCAGUGCCGCAGUUAACACAAUAAGUAAUCCACCUGGGGAGUACGACCGCAAGGUUGAAACUCAAAGGAAUUGACGGAAGGGCGA